rnacentral:rRNA from 1 species
AAACUAACAAGGAUUCCCCUAGUAGCGGCGAGCGAAGCGGGAAGAGCUCAAAUUUAUAAUCUGGCGCUUUCGGCGUCCGAGUUGUAAUCUCUAGAAGUGUUUUCCGCGUUGGACCGCACAUAAGUCUGUUGGAAUACAGCGGCACAGUGGUGAGACCCCCGUUCACGGUGCGGAUGCCCAAUGCUUUGUGAUACACUUUCGAAGAGUCGAGUUGUUUGGGAAUGCAGCUCAAAUUGGGUGGUAAAUUCCAUCUAAAGCUAAAUAUUGGCGAGAGACCGAUAGCGAACAAGUACCGUGAGGGAAAGAUGAAAAGCACUUUGGAAAGAGAGUUAACAGUACGUGAAAUUGUUGGAAGGGAAACGCUUGAAGUCAGACUUGCUAUUCGGGGCUUGCUCCGAGUUGCAGGCCAGCAUCAGUUUUUCGGGGCGGAAAAUCACGGAUUGAAGGUAGCAGUUUCGGCUGUGUUAUAGCUUUCCGUUGGAUACGUCCUGGGGGACUGAGGAACGCAGUGUGCUUUUAGCGAGGGCUUCGGCUCUUUCACACUUAGGAUGC